UACGGGGGGAGCAAGCGUUGUUCGGAUUUACUGGGCGUAAAGGGCGCGUAGGCGGCCAGCACAAGUCAGUUGUGAAAUCUCCGAGCUUAACUCGGAAAGGUCAACUGAUACUGUGCGGCUAGAGUGCGGAAGGGGCAACUGGAAUUCUCGGUGUAGCGGUGAAAUGCGUAGAUAUCGAGAGGAACACCUGCGGCGAAGGCGGGUUGCUGGGCUGAUACUGACGCUGAGGCGCGAAAGCUAGGGGAGCGAACGGG
rnacentral:rRNA from 1 species